rnacentral:rRNA from 1 species
GAGGUUUCCAGGGUAAAGCUGAUCUGCCCUGGGUGAGUCGGGACCUAAGGUGAGGGCGGGAGCCGUAGCCGAUGGACAACAGGUUGAUAUUCCUGUACUGCAGUAUAACAGAACUGUGGGGACACGUAAGGAGAGCGGGAGCCGGGAAUGGAAAGCCCGGUACAAGCGAGGUACCAGUACGGUAGGAAAAUCCGCCGUGCAAUGGGAAGACGUGAUGUGGAGUGAAAUAUAGUAACGAAGCCCGUGAGCCAUGCGUCAAGAAAAGCCGCUAUUGUUUAUACUGUACCCGUACCGUAAACCGACACAGGUGGAUGAGGAGAGAAUCCUAAGGCCGGCGGAAGAAGUAUUGCCAAGGAACUCGGCAAAAUGGCCCCGUAACUUAGGGAGAAGGGGUGCCUGCGAGAGCAGGCCGCAGAGAAUAGGCUCAAGCAACUGUUUAGCAAAAACACAGGUCUAUGCGAAACCGAAAGGUGAGGUAAAUGGGCUGACGCCUGCCCGGUGCUGGAAGGUUAAGAGGAGAGGUUAGACGCAAGUCGAAGCUUUGAAUUUAAGCCCCAGUAAACGGCGGCCGUAACAAUAACGGUCCAAAGGUAGCGAAAUUCCUUGUCGGGUAAGUUCCGACCCGCACGAAAGGCGUAAUGAUUUGAGCGCUGUCUCGGCAAUACAUCCGGUGAAAUUGAAGUGCCAGUGAAGAUGCUGGCUACCCGCGCCAGGACGGAAAGACCCCAUGGAGCUUUACUCCAGUUUGGCACUGGGGUCCGGUGUUGCAUGUACAGGAUAGGUGGGAGGCUGAGAGAUAGUGACGUCAGUUGCUAUGGAGCCGCUGUUGGGAUACCACCCUUGUGAUAUUGGGCUUCUAACCAGCCGCCGUGAACCGGCGGUGGGACAAUGCCAGGCGGGGAGUUUGACUGGGGCGGUCGCCUCCGAAAGGGUAUCGGAGGCGCCCAAAGGUUCCCUCAGAAUGGACGGAAACCAUUCGAAGAGUGCAAAGGCAGAAGGGAGCUUGACUGCGACACCGACGGGUGGAGCAGGUACGAAAGUAGGGCUUAGUGAUCCGGUGGUAUUAAGUGGGAAUGCCAUCGCUCAACGGAUAAAAGCUACCCUGGGAUAACAGGCUUAUCACUCCCAAGAGUUCACAUCGACGGAGUGGUUUGGCACCUCGAUGUCGGCUCAUCGCAUCCUGGGGCUGUAGUAGGUCCCAAGGGUUGGGCUGUUCGCCCAUUAAAGCGGUACGCGAGCUGGGUUCAGAACGUCGUGAGACAGUUCGGUCCCUAUCCGGCGUGGGCGCAGGAUAUCUGAGAGGAGCUGUCCUUAGUACGAGAGGACCGGGAUGGACGGACCGCUGGUGGACCGGUUGGCUUGCCAAAGCCAUGGCCGGGUAGCCAAGUCCGGAAGGGAUAAACGCUGAAGGCAUCUAAGCGUGAAGCCCCCCUCAAGAUGAGAUAUCCCAUUCUUUAAGAAGUAAACCCCCUUGAAGACGACGAGGUAGAUAGGGCAGAGGUGGAAGUGUGGUAACACAUGGAGCUGACUGUUACUAAUCGGGUGAGGGCUUGACCG